CUCUAAUGUAGUAAGAGAAUUGUACAGAAGCCACAGAGGAAAAACCACCAUUAAGUACUUUGCACAACCUUUGCAGAGAUAAGCAGAAACCAGAACUCCUAGACGUGAUUUGAUAAACAUGGAGAAUCAAGCAGGAUAACUUGACUGAGACAGAGAUUAUAUUCGCCCGGUUAACUAAAGUAACAUCUACAUUUAGAAGAGCACCACCUGUGACCUGUG